CCCGAUGGCUAAUAUCCAUCAUGCUUGACGGUACCUCUAGAGGAAGCACCGGUCUAACUCCGUGCCAGCAGCCGCGGUAAUACGGGGGGUGCAAGCGUUGUUCGGAAUCAUUGGGCGUAAAGAGCGUGUAGGCGGCUGGACAAGUCAGAUGUGAAAUCCCUGGGCUUAACCCAGGAAGUGCAUUUGAAACUGUCUAGCUGGAGUAAGGGAGAGGAAAGUGGAAUUCCUGGUGUAGAGGUGAAAUUCGUAGAUAUCAGGAGGAACCCCGGUGGCGAAGGCGACUUUCUGGCCCUAUANCUGACCGCUGAGACGCGAAAGGCGUGGGUAGCAAUA
rnacentral:rRNA from 1 species